UAGAUGAGCCUAUAUUAGAUUAGCUAGUUGGUGGAGUAAUAGCCUACCAAGGCAAUGAUCUAUAGCUGAUCUGAGAGGAUGAUCAGCCACACUGGAACUGAGAUACGGUCCAGACUCCUACGGGAGGCAGCAGUGGGGAAUAUUGGACAAUGGGCGAAAGCCUGAUCCAGCCAUGCCGCAUGAGUGAAGAAGGCCUUUGGGUUGUAAAGCUCUUUUAGUGAGGAAGAUAAUGACGGUACUCACAGAAGAAGUCCUGGCUAACUCCGUGCCAGCAGCCGCGGUAAUACGGAGAGGGCUAGCGUUAUUCGGAAUUAUUGGGCGUAAAGGGCGCGUAGGCUGAUUAAUAAGUUAAAAGUGAAAUCCCGAGGCUUAACCUUGGAAUUGCUUUUAAAACUAUUAAUCUAGAGAUUGAAAGAGGAUAGAGGAAUUCCUGAUGUAGAGGUAAAAUUCGUAAAUAUUAGGAGGAACACCAGUGGCGAAGGCGUCUAUCUGGUUCAAAUCUGACGCUGAAGCGCGAAGGCGUGGGGAGCAAACAGGAUUAGAUACCCUGGUAGUCCACGCUGUAAACGAUGAAUGUUAAAUAUGGGAAGUUUA
rnacentral:rRNA from 1 species